AGUGAACGCUGGCGGCAGGCCUAAUACAUGCAAGUCGAACGGCAACACAGUAAGAUUGCGCCCCUACGGGUGGCGAGUGGCGGACGGGUGAGGAAUACAUCGGAAACUUCUAUUUCGGGGGGGAUAACGGAGGGAAACUUACGCUAAUACCGCAUAUGUCCUACGGGAGAAAGCAGUGGUGAUUCGGAGCUUGCGCGAUUGAAUGAGCCGGAGUCGGGUUAGCUAGUUGGCGGGGUAAAGGCCCACCAAGGCAACGAUGCGUAGCCGACCUGAGAGGAUGAUCCGCCACCCUGGAACUUGGACACGGGCCAGACUCCUACGGGAGGCAGCAGUAGGGAAUCUUCGGCAAUGGGCGAAAGCCUGACGGCGCACCGCCGCGUGGGUGAUGAAGGGCUUCGGAUUGUAAAACCCUUUUUUUAGGGAAGAACAAAUGUGGAAGUAACUACGCACGUUUUGACGGUACCCAAUCAGAAAGCCACGGCUAACUACGUG
rnacentral:rRNA from 1 species